AAUGAACGCUGGCGGCGUGGAUAAGACAUGCAAGUCGAACGGAGUUAGCAAUAAGCUUGCUUAAGGCAAACUCAGUGGCGAACGGGUGAGUAACACGUGAAUAAUCUGCCUUGAAGUGGGGGAUAGCCCUGGGAAACUAGGAUUAAUACCGCAUGUGGUCGAGAGACUAAAGCAGCAAUGCACUUUAAGAUGAGUUCGCGUACUAUUAGCUAGUUGGUGAGGUAACUGCUCACCAAGGCCUUGAUAGGUAGCCGGUCUGAGAGGAUGUCCGGCCACACUGGAACUGAGACACGGUCCAGACACCUACGGGUGGCAGCAGUCGAGAAUCAUUCACAAUGGGGGCAACCCUGAUGGUGCGACGCCGCGUGGGGGAAGAAUGUCUUCGGAUUGUAAACCCCUGUCAUGUGGGAGUAAGCUAGUGAUAGUUGAUAGUACCACAAGAGGAAGAGACGGCAAACUCUGUGCCAGCCGCCGCGGUAA
rnacentral:rRNA from 1 species